UCUUGUUGGCUCAGUUGGUAGAGCAUUGCGCUAACAACGCAAAGCUUGUGGGUUCUAAUCCCAGGGAAAGCAAGAA
rnacentral:tRNA from 1 species